rnacentral:rRNA from 2 species
GAUGGGCUCAUGUCCUAUCAGCUUGUUGGCGGGGUAACGGCCCACCAAGGCUGCGACGGGUAGCUGGUCUGAGAGGACGACCAGCCACACUGGCACUGCGACACGGGCCAGACUCCUACGGGAGGCAGCAGUGAGGAAUAUUGCGCAAUGGACGACAGUCUGACGCAGCGACGCCGCGUGGGGGAUGAAGGCCUUCGGGUUGUAAACCCCUUUCAGGAGGGAAGAUGGGACGGGCAACCGUUCGGACGGUACCUCCAGAAGCAGCCACGGCUAACUCUGUGCCAGCAGCCGCGGUAAGACAGAGGUGGCAAGCGUUGUUCGGAUUUACUGGGCGUAAAGGGUGCGUAGGUGGUUAGGUAAGACCUGUGGGAAAGACCUGGGCUUAACCCAGGAAGGUCGCAGGUGACUGCCUAGCUAGAGGGCGGGAGAGGAGCGCGGAAUUCCCGGUGUAGCGGUGAAAUGCGUAGAGAUCGGGAGG